UGGGGAAUAUUGCACAAUGGGCGAAAGCCUGAUGCAGCAACGCCGCGUGAGUGAUGAAGGCCUUCGGGUUGUAAAGCUCUGUCUUUUGGGACGAUAAUGACGGUACCAAAGGAGGAAGCCACGGCUAACUACGUGCCAGCAGCCGCGGUAAUACGUAGGUGGCAAGCGUUGUCCGGAUUUACUGGGCGUAAAGGAUGCGUAGGCGGAUUUUUAAGUGAGAUGUGAAAUACCCGGGCUUAACUUGGGUGCUGCAUUUCAAACUGGGAAUCUAGAGUGCGGGAGAGGAGAAUGGAAUUCCUAGUGUAGCGGUGAAAUGCGUAGAGAUUAGGAAGAACACCAGUGGCGAAGGCGAUUCUCUGGACCGUAACUGACGCUGAGGCAUGAAAGCGUGGGUAGCAAACAGGAUUAGAUACCCUGGUAGUCCACGCCGUAAAACGAUGAGUACUAGGUGUAGGAGGUAUCGACCCCUUCUGUGCCGCAGUUAACACAAUAAGUACUCCGCCUGGGAAGUACGAUCAGCAAGAUUAAAACUCAAAGGAAUUGACGGGGUC
rnacentral:rRNA from 1 species